GACGAACGCUGGCGGCGUGCUUAACACAUGCAAGUCGAGCGGAAAGGCCACUUCGGUGGUACUCGAGCGGCGAACGGGUGAGUAACACGUGAGUAAUCUGCCCCUGGCUUUGGGAUAGCCACCGGAAACGGUGAUUAAUACCGGAUACGACCACUUCUCGCAUGGGAUGGUGGUGGAAAGUUUUUUCGGCCAGGGAUGUGCUCGCGGCCUAUCAGCUUGAUGGUGAGGUAAUGGCUCACCAUGGCUCCGACGGGUAGCCGGCCUGAGAGGGUGACCGGGCACACUGGGAGUGGGACACGGCCCAGAGUCCUACGGGAGGCAGCAGUGGGGAAUAUUGGACAAUGGGCGGAAGCCUGAUCCAGCAACGCCGCGUGAGGGAUGACGGCCUUCGGGUUGUAAACCUCUUUCAGCAGGGACGAAGCGCAAGUGACGGUACCUGCAGAAGAAGCACCGGCUAACUACGUGCCAGCCGCCGCCGUAA
rnacentral:rRNA from 1 species